rnacentral:rRNA from 1 species
GUUUGAUCCUGGCUCAGAACGAACGCUGGCGGCGUGUCUAAUACAUGCAAGUCGAACGAGAAAGUCCGACCUCGGUUGGAUAAGUAAAGUGGCGAACGGGUGAGUAACACGUGGACAAUCUACCUUUGAGUUUGGGAUAAGCCCGGGAAACUGGGUCUAAUACCGAAUGAUAUCUUAAGACGGCAUCGUCUUUUGAUCAAAGGCGGGGUAACCUGCCGCUCAGAGAUGAGUCCGCGUUCCAUUAGCUUGUUGGUGGGGUAACGGCCUACCAAGGCUGCGAUGGAUAGCCGGCCUGAGAGGGUGGACGGCCACACUGGGACUGAGAUACGGCCCAGACUCCUACGGGAGGCAGCAGUAGGGAAUAUUGCGCAAUGGACGAAAGUCUGACGCAGCGACGCCGCGUGGGUGAUGAAGCUCUUUGGAGUGUAAAACCCUGUCAGUGGGGAAGAACCGCAAGAGGAGUAACUGCCUUUUGCCUGACGGUACCCGCAGGGGAAGCUCCGGCUAACUCCGUGCCAGCAGCCGCGGUAAUACGGGGGGAGCAAGCGUUGUUCGGAUUCACUGGGCGUAAAGGGCGUGUAGGCGGAUAUGUAAGUCAUAUGUGAAAACCAGCGGCUUAACCACUGGCCUGCAUUUGAAACUAUGUAUCUUGAGUAUGAGAGGGGAGAGCGGAAUUCCUGGUGUAGCGGUGAAAUGCGUAGAUAUCAGGAGGAACACCUGUGGCGAAGGCGGCUCUCUGGCUCAAUACUGACGCUAAGGCGCGAAGGCCGGGGGAGCAAACAGGAUUAGAUACCCUGGUAGUCCCGGCGGUAAACGAUGGGUACUAGGUGUUGGAGGUAUCGACCCCUUCAGUGCCGCAGCUAACGCAUUAAGUACCCCGCCUGGGGAGUACGGUCGCAAGAUUGAAACUCAAAGGAAUUGACGGGAGCCCGCACAAGCGGUGGAGUAUGUGGUUUAAUUCGAAGCAACGCGAAGAACCUUACCUGGACUUGACAUGUAAUAGACUGUGGAUGAAAGUUCAUUUUCCCUUCGGGGACUGUUACACAGGUGCUGCAUGGCUGUCGUCAGCUCGUGCCGUGAGGUGUUGGGUUAAGUCCCGCAACGAGCGCAACCCCUGUCCUUAGUUGCCAUCAGGUAAUGCUGGGAACUCUAAGGAGACUGCCGGUGAUAAGCUGGAGGAAGGUGGGGACGACGUCAAGUCCUCAUGGCCCUUACGUCCAGGGCUACACACGUACUACAAUGGCCGGUACAGAGGGUUGCAAUACCGCGAGGUGGAGCCAAUCCCUAAAACCGGUCUCAGUUCAGAUUAGAGUCUGCAACUCGACUCUAUGAAGGCGGAAUCGCUAGUAAUCGCGGAUCAGCUACGCCGCGGUGAAUGCGUUCUCGGGUCUUGUACACACCGCCCGUCACAUCACGAAAGCUGGUGGUGCCAGAAGUCGCUGGUCUAACCUACUUCGGUAGGAGGAAGGCGCCGAAGGUGCUGCUAGUGAUUGGGGUGAAGUCGGAACAAGGUA